rnacentral:rRNA from 1 species
UACGUAGGGUGCGAGCGUUAAUCGGAAUUACUGGGCGUAAAGCGUGCGCAGGCGGUUUUGUAAGCCAGAUGUGAAAUCCCCGGGCUCAACCUGGGAAUGGCAUUUGGGACUGCAAGGCUCGAGUGCGGCAGAGGAGACUGGAAUUCCUGGUGUAGCAGUGAAAUGCGUAGAUAUCAGGAGGAAUACCGAUGGCGAAGGCAGCCCCCUGGGCUAACACUGACGCUCAUGCACGAAAGCGUGGGGAGCAAACAGG